rnacentral:rRNA from 1 species
UACGGAGGGUGCGAGCGUUAUUCGGAAUUACUGGGCGUAAAGCGCGUGUAGGCGGGGGUACAAGUCUGAUGUGAAAGCCCUGGGCUUAACCUGGGAAGUGCAUUGGAAACGGUAUCUCUUGAGUACUGGAGAGGAAGGGGGAAUUCCCGGUGUAGAGGUGAAAUUCGUAGAGAUCGGGAGGAAUACCAGUGGCGUAGGCGCCUUUCUGGACGGUUACUGACGCUGAGACGCGAAAGCGUGGGGAGCAAACAGG